rnacentral:rRNA from 1 species
UACGAAGGGGGCUAGCGUUGUUCGGAUUUACUGGGCGUAAAGCGCACGUAGGCGGAUCGUUAAGUCGGUGGUGAAAUCCUGGAGCUCAACUCCAGAACUGCCUUCGAUACUGGCGAUCUUGAGUCCGGAAGAGGUGAGUGGAACUCCUAGUGUAGAGGUGGAAUUCGUAGAUAUUAGGAAGAACACCAGUGGCGAAGGCGGCUCACUGGUCCGGUACUGACGCUGAGGUGCGAAAGCGUGGGGAGCAAACAGG